AGCCAAAGGGGACCCCCGCUAAAAUACAUAUACUUAUAUAGUAAAUAUCGGGAUUUUCAUUUUCCGCGGAACUUUCACUUUCCGCGAAAAACCAAGGCCAGCAUAGCCAUAAAAUACUGCAUACAAAUCGAAAUCUAAAAAGCGCGGAACUUUCAUAUAUUUUCCGUCGGAACAAUUAUCUUUCAACCCUGUAGAGAAUGCGGGCUCAAAUAAUCGCGCGGAACCUUAAUAUUAUCUACUCUGUACAAAUAGUAGUGUAUAAAAUCGCGCGGACCUAAUCCACAAAGCGCGGAACACAAAUAUCUUCCGCGAAAAUUAAGCAUUGAAUUACUGUACAAAUCUCGGGUUGCUAUGUAAAUUGCGGGUUGCUAAUGUAAAAUCGCGCGGAAGAUUCAUUACUCCGCGCGAUUUUCAAUAGCAUUGAAUUACUGCACGAAAUUCGGGUUGCUAUGUGGUUACGCGAUAAAAUUUGAUUGGUUCCGACACCUAGAAAGAACCAAUCAAAACUCGCGUCUUAUCCAGCAUUCAUGCAGUCAUCAUGAUGACGGUUGUUUCACAUUAACACAAAACCUUUUAAGGGCGAAAGAGUGAUCAAUUUUGAUGACAUUAGCGAUGAGCUGUAGCAGUGUUCCCAACUUGAACAUCAUCUUCUGUGUACAUAUCUGAGGCAGAGCCAGCUUGCCCAUCUGACCUCUGUUGUGGACAACCGAGUAAGAGCCAGCUUGCAUGUCAUCUGUUGUGGACAUCCGUGUUAGAGCCAGCUUGCACGUCCUCUUUUGUGGACAUCAGUGUUAGUUCUAGCUUGCAUGUCAUCUGUUGUGAACAUCCGUGUAAGAGCCAGCUUGCACGUCAUCUCUUUUGGACAUCAGUGUUAGAGCCAGCUUACACAUCCUCUGUUGUGGACAUCCGUGUAAGUGCUAGCUUGCACGUAAUCUGUUGUGGACAUCUGUGUUAGAGCCAGCUUGCACGUCAUAUGUUUAGGACAUCAGUCAGAGAUAGCUUGCAUGUUAUAUACUUGUGGACAUUAGUCAGAGCCAGCAAGGACAAUCUCUGUUGUGGAUAUCUGUCUUAGAGCUUGCACGUCAUCGGUUGUUCACAUCCUUGUAAUAACCAGCUUGCACAUCAACUGAUGUGGAAAUCUGAGUCAGAGCCAGCUUGCACAUCAUCCGUUGUGGACAUCUCUUUAUGAUUCUACUCUUUGCUUAGAUUGACACUGUGACUUUAGUGUAAUAUGUUACAACCUUAAGCUAUUCCUAUUGUUGAAUAAAAAUAUUGUGUCAUUAAAAUAUAUUUUGUUGGAUAAUUUGUAUGUUGAGUUGUAUUGUUUGGUCAUUGCAAAGUAUCAAGUUAUUUUAAGACAACAAAAAGCUCAUCUUUCAUCAUGUAUUUAUAUUAAAAUUCUUGAAUGUUAGUGAAGGUACAGUUCAUAUAAUUAAAAGCAAUUUUAAUAUGAUUGCUUGUGUUUUAUUGCACAGUGAAUACCAUCUUGUCUUUAUGCUGACAUAUAGAACGGAAAAAUAGUAAACUGUCGUUUUUAUAUGCAAUGGGAUUGUAUAUGAAGACUUGCAUGUUCAGAUGAAAAAAUUGCCAUAAUUUUUCUCUUUAUAUUUUAUUCCUGCUAAAUGGUUGAUGCAAUAAAGUUAAGUCUUUAA